UUUGAAACUACUAUUAUGUCUCAACAAUGACAGCACAUGCUUUGGGAUACUUCCCACAAUCACGAUCAAGCUCAAGUUAACCAUACUCCUAACCUAUGUGGGUGAAUGCUGGAUCCUCUCAUUCUGGAGUCCACAUUACAGUAGAGUUAGCUCCUCAACUCUGGUCACUACUUCCUAUUCCUUUCCCAUUCCCCUGACGUGCUAUGAAGAUCUCAGUAUGCUUUCAGCUCAGGCUUUAUACGCUAUGGGAAUUGGGAAGAUAAGUGUGAAAUUACUUUGAUUCCUGACACCAGUUGCAUAGAUUUAUUUCAGUGAUUGAUUCAAAGAUCACAUGGUUUUGCUAAGCACUGCAGCCCUGCAUCAAUCUUCAGGAGAGCUGAAACUGCCAUUGAUUCUGUCCUGCUGUCUUAGGAAGGAAAUGCUGAAAGACUGCAUCCAGACCUUAAUAGGCAUCAGCCAAGUUAAUAGUUGCUUCAAUUGCUGGGCAAUGGUGAGGCAUGAAAAGAAGCAGGUCCGACACAUUUCACAGUGUUCUUUAAACAAAAAGCCUUCAUCUACUUUAUUUGGUCAAUCAAUUUAAAUUUAGAUGUAGAAAAUAUGAAUGAUUACUGCAGCCAAAAAUAAAAGGGAUGCUUACUUUGGAAACAUUUAA